rfam:Baudoinia panamericana TAMH 10762 unplaced genomic scaffold BATCOscaffold_10, whole genome shotgun sequence.
GGACCUUUGGCGCAGUGGUAGCGUAUCUGAUUCCAGACAGCCAAAACUGUUGGAAUGAGUCUCCAGAUGGUCGUCCGUUCAAAUCGGGCAAGGUUCA